UUGCCAGUGUGAGUCCGGUCCGGGUAGCUGCCAGGAGGCCCGGUAGCAGACUGGCGGUCUCGUCUGGAAACGGACGGGGUCGAAGCCCAGUGUCGAAAGCCCUCAUGGGGGAGCGACGACGGUUCCAUGCGUUGUGGGA
rfam:Saccharothrix sp. ALI-22-I Contig20, whole genome shotgun sequence.